rnacentral:rRNA from 1 species
AGUGAACGCUGGCGGUAGGCCUAACACAUGCAAGUCGAACGGCAGCACAGUAAGAGCUUGCUCUUACGGGUGGCGAGUGGCGGACGGGUGAGGAAUACAUCGGAAUCUACUUUUUCGUGGGGGAUAACGUAGGGAAACUUACGCUAAUACCGCAUACGACCUACGGGUGAAAGCAGGGGAUCUUCGGACCUUGCGCGAUUGAAUGAGCCGAUGUCGGAUUAGCUAGUUGGCGGGGUAAAGGCCCACCAAGGCGACGAUCCGUAGCUGGUCUGAGAGGAUGAUCAGCCACACUGGAACUGAGACACGGUCCAGACUCCUACGGGAGGCAGCAGUGGGGAAUAUUGGACGAUGGGAGCAAGCCUGAUCCAGCAAUACCGCGUGGGUGAAGAAGGCCUUCGGGUUGUAAAGCUCUUUUGUUGGGAAAGAAAAGCAGCAGGAUAAUACCCCGCUGUUCUGACGGUACCCAAAGAGUAAGCAACGGCUAACUUCGUG